AGUGAACGCUGGCGGCGUGCUUAACACAUGCAAGUAGAACGGAUGAAAUAAGCUUGCUUAUUUCGUUAGUGGCGCACGGGUGAGUAAUGUAUAGCUAACCUGCACUUUAGUGGGGGACAACAGUUGGAAACGAAUGCUAAUACCCCAUACUCCUUCUUAUCACAAGGUAAGUUGGGAAAGAUUUAUUGCUAAAGGAUGGGGCUUUAUGGUAUCAGCUAGUUGGUGGGGUAACGGCCUACCAAGGCAAUGACGCCUACCUGGUCUGAGAGGAUGGCCAUGCACGCUGGAACUUAGACACGGGCCAGACUCCUACGGGAGUCAGCAGUGGUGAAUAUUGCACAAUGGAGGAAACUCUGAUGCAGCAACGCCGCGUAGAGGAUGACGCAUUUCGGUGUGUAAACUCCUUUUAUAAUGGAAGAUAAUUACGGUAUUAUAUGAAUAAGCACCGGCUAACUCCGUGCCAGCAGCCGCCGUAA
rnacentral:rRNA from 1 species